rnacentral:rRNA from 1 species
UGAUCCUGGCUCAGAUUGAACGCUGGCGGCAGGCCUAACACAUGCAAGUCGAGCGGUAGCGGGAAGAGCUUGCUCUUUGCCGACGAGCGGCGGACGGGUGCGUAACACGUAGGAAUCUGCCCGGUAGUGGGGGAUAGCCCGGAGAAAUCCGGAUUAAUACCGCAUACGCCCUAAGGGGGAAAGCAGGGGAUCUUCGGACCUUGCGCUAUCGGAUGAGCCUGCGUCGGAUUAGCUUGUUGGUGGGGUAAAGGCCUACCAAGGCGACGAUCCGUAGCUGGUCUGAGAGGAUGAUCAGCCACACUGGGACUGAGACACGGCCCAGACUCCUACGGGAGGCAGCAGA